UACGUAGGGCGCAAGCGUUGUCCGGAAUUAUUGGGCGUAAAGAGCUCGUAGGCGGCUUGUCACGUCGGGUGUGAAAGCCCGGGGCUUAACCCCGGGUCUGCAUUCGAUACGGGCUAGCUAGAGUGUGGUAGGGGAGAUCGGAAUUCCUGGUGUAGCGGUGAAAUGCGCAGAUAUCAGGAGGAACACCGGUGGCGAAGGCGGAUCUCUGGGCCAUUACUGACGCUGAGGAGCGAAAGCGUGGGGAGCGAUCCGG
rnacentral:rRNA from 1 species